GACAGAGGUGCCGAGCGUUAGGCGGAAUCACUGGGCUUAAAGCGUGUGUAGGCGGACGGGUAAGUACCUUGUGAAAUCCCACGGCUCAACCGUGGAACUGCUGGGUAUACUGCCUGUCUUGAGUCAUCUAGGGGCGAGCGGAACAAAUGGUGGAGCGGUGAAAUGCGUAGAUAUCAUUUGGAACGCCAAUGGUGAAAACAGCUCGCUGGGGGUGCACUGACACUGAGACACGAAAGCCAGGGGAGCGAACGGG
rnacentral:rRNA from 1 species